AGCUUUGUGUUUUUUAUGUUAUUAAUAAUCUGUUUGUGAAAUACUUUUUACUUUAAUUUAGUAUUGAUGCAAUUGCCCCUACCUUGAUGAUGAAAAUGCUUACAAAAAUUAAUAACUUACCAAAGACUUUAAAAAGCCCUUAGCAAGAGAGUGUUUCUUCCUCUUAAGAUGGGAGUAAAAGGGAUUCCUCUCUGUUUCAUGCAGUGGGAAAAAUUCUUUACCCAAAGAGAGGUGUUUUAUACGACAUCAAUUUCUGCAGAAUCUUUUACUUUGCUUUUGAAAGAGAAUUCCCUUUGUUGAUGACAUUGAAGCUAACUUUGAAUGUGCACUUUGGUUAAGUGAUGCUGAUUAUGUUUUUCUCUUAGUAUGAGACAGCUACAAUUUGACUUAGUUCCUUAUCUUUCAAAAUUCCAAUUGAAAGAUUUAAACUGGUAGCACUAAGGAAAGAAUUAGGAAAUAUGAAAAUAAAAAAAGUUUUUUAGUGGAAAAGAUGUUGAACGAAAAAAACCACUUUUGUUUUGAAGCGGAAGAGAGUGACUCAAUUGAUGAAGGGAACAAUUCAAUUAUUGCAAGAUAGAUUGCCUGAUGAAAAGAUAGAAGAACCCAACUUUUGACCACGGAUUGUGUAUUGUGAAAUAUUUAUAUAAUGAAGAUAUUUAUUAAAUGUUUGAUUUCUUUUUUACUUGA
rnacentral:lncRNA from 1 species